rnacentral:rRNA from 1 species
AUUGAACGCUGGCGGCAUGCCUUACACAUGCAAGUCGAACGGUAACAGGUCUUCGGAUGCUGACGAGUGGCGAACGGGUGAGUAAUACAUCGGAACGUGCCCGUCGUGGGGGAUAACGUAGCGAAAGCUACGCUAAUACCGCAUACGAUCUACGGAUGAAAGCGGGGGAUCGCAAGACCUCGCGCGAUUGGAGCGGCCGAUGGCAGAUUAGGUAGUUGGUGGGGUAAAGGCUAACCAAGCCGACGAUCUGUAGCUGGUCUGAGAGGACGACCAGCCACACUGGGACUGAGACACGGCCCAGACUCCUACGGGAGGCAGCAGUGGGGAAUUUUGGACAAUGGGCGCAAGCCUGAUCCAGCCAUUCCGCGUGCAGGAUGAAGGCCCUCGGGUUGUAAACUGCUUUUGUACGGAACGAAAAGGCUCUGGUUAAUACCCGGGGCUCAUGACGGUACCGUAAGAAUAAGCACCGGCUAACUACGUGCCAGCCGCCGCCGUAACAC